rnacentral:rRNA from 1 species
CCGGUUAUAGAGAGUUCAAGAGAACGUGAAAUCCUAGCGGUUGAAGCGGAGAGAGUUGACGUAGCUCGGCGGCUAAGCUUACUGUUGCUUCUUCGGAGGCUUCGGUUUGUGAUGUCCGCUUAUAGCUGCGCUGGUAGCGUUGUUCGAGCUUUCUGACCUGGUUAGUGUUGCCCACUUCGGUGGUGUCUUGCUACCGGCGAGGUCUGCCGUAUUAACGUUUAACUUGCCUUACGGUGAGUACCAGUGUGUUGUAUUAAGGUCAGCCACCUUUCCGACCCGUCUUGAAACACGGACCGAGGAGUGUAACUUGUACGCGAGUCAGAGGGUGGAAAACCGUUCUACGGCGCAAUGAAAGUAAAGGUCGGUUAACCGGCUGACAUGGGAUCCGUUCUUACGAGCGGCGCACCAUGGCCCUGUCAAUUGUUGAGAGCUUGCUCUUGGGCAGAGGUAGAGCGUACAGGUUGCGACCCGAAAGAUGGUGAACUAUACUUGAGCAGGACGAAUUGGGCCAGAGGAAACUCUGGUGGAAGUCCGUAUCGGUUCUGACGUGCAAAUCGAUCGAUAGACUUGAGUAUAGGGGCGAAAGAUUGGCUCUAAUCGAACCAUCUAGUAGCUGGUUCCUUCAAUGCUAGGUAUUACGACACUUGAGUAUAGGGCGCGAGAGACUAAUCGAACAUCUCUAGUAUCUGUUCCCUCUCAAA